rnacentral:rRNA from 1 species
GACGAACGCUGGCGGCGUGCUUAACACAUGCAAGUCGAACGGAAAGGCCCUGCUUUUGUGGGGUGCUCGAGUGGCGAACGGGUGAGUAACACGUGAGUAACCUGCCCUUGACUUUGGGAUAACUUCAGGAAACUGGGGCUAAUACCGGAUAGGAGCUCCUGCUGCAUGGUGGGGGUUGGAAAGUUUCGGCGGUUGGGGAUGGACUCGCGGCUUAUCAGCUUGUUGGUGGGGUAGUGGUUUACCAAGGCUUUGACGGGUAGCCGGCCUGAGAGGGUGACCGGCCACAUUGGGACUGAGAUACGGCCCAGACUCCUACGGGAGGCAGCAGUGGGGAAUAUUGCACAAUGGGCGGAAGCCUGAUGCAGCAACGCCGCGUGCGGGAUGACGGCCUUCGGGUUGUAAACCGCUUUCGCCUGUGACGAAGCGUAAGUGACGGUAAUGGGUAAAGAAGCACCGGCUAACUACGUG